GUCACUAAGAACAUUUGUUGAUCUGCUGACUGAUUGCAGUGGGAGUAUCCGCUGGACAUGCUGAAAGCCCAGUACCUGUCAUUUGAGUAGAGCAGGCCCUUCACCAGCCCGUGGGAAUAUCAGUGAUUAUCCUUCUCCGGCAUAGGUUCCUGUUUUCUUUACAGUUUGAUGUUGGGUGGCAUCGGUGAUGCAUGCUUGCUCAUUGCUUGAAGAAGCUUUUGUCUUUAGAAAAGUAUAUAGAAUCUUGGAUCAGAUGGUACGCCUAGAUGGCCAGGUGAAGAUGGAGCACUGCCAAGCAAGCCCCAAGGAAAUGUGCAGCCUCCACAGGAUGUUUUAUUACUGGCUUCUGAGGAAGUGGUUAUCUUCCGUCCACAGACUUGGAACUGUGCAUCUCUGCCGAAUGUAUAUCUCAGUCUUGGCCACUCCCUGGAAUCUAACUCAUGGACCAAACUGCCAUCUUAACAUCUCAUUUAAGUUUCUUCUUGACCCUCUUGUAAUUUUGUACAGUCAUCACUACAUUGCUCACAAGAAUGACUCUUACCCUCAUCCAGGAGAUCACUGGGGAUCCUCUGCAUCAUUCACACGAGAAGAUGGUAGGUUGGAGCUUGGAACAAUGUUUGGAGGACUUUGCCUCCCCUUGGAAGCUAAAGCCCUGGCCGAUCUGAAGAAAGCCAAAGCCAUUCCCAGUUUUACUUUGCUAUUAGGAGAUAGAAAAAACCUUUAA
rnacentral:lncRNA from 1 species